rnacentral:lncRNA from 1 species
AGAGGCCUAUGUUUGUGACCUUACACCUCUCAUGAACAUACAAAAUCUCUAGACUUUUCAUUUGUCUGAAGUCAAUAACCUUAUCCUCACAACACAUAUCAAACAACAGUGUCCUAUACUCCUAUGCUAAAAGGUAAUUUUCUGCUCAGAGAAUAUUUCUUUGGACAUUUGAGCCACUUAGAUUUUCUAUUAACUUACUAGUUUUGGUUUACUCGUUUAAUAAGAGUGUCUUUUGGAUAUUCAUUGUGAUUUAAGUCACACUGUUUACUAGUACUAAUUUAAUUUAUGCUCAAAAUUUGUCAUCCC